rnacentral:lncRNA from 1 species
ACCUUCAGCACCUCAGCUGUGUGCCCUUUCACCCUCCAGCCUUUACUGAGGAUGCUGAAGAACAGAUGGACUCCUGCUUGGUGUAGCUUUCCUGCGUGCCAUGCGGCAAUAAUGUGAGCUCUCUGCCGUCUCUUACACUCGUGUAGGGUCUCACUGUGUAGUCCAGGCUGGCCUUGAACUCACUAUGCAGCCCAAGCUGGCCUCAAACUGGCAGCGAUCAUCAUGUCUCAGCCUCAAGUGCUGGGAUUUACCAGGGAUUGAACUCAGGACCUUGUUCUUGCAAGACAGGUGCAUUGCCACUGAGCUAACUCCCUGGGCCUGAAGUGAGUUUUUUAAUAGACACCAUAUACUUGGGUUGUGGUUUUUUAUGUCUUCUGCCAAUCUCUUUUAGUUUGUCAAUUUAGAGCAUUUAUCUUUAAAGUGUCUAUUAUGAUGGCCAUACUU